rnacentral:rRNA from 1 species
AACGAACGCUGGCGGCAUGCCUAACACAUGCAAGUCGAACGAUGCUUUCGGGCAUAGUGGCGCACGGGUGCGUAACGCGUGGGAAUCUGCCCUGGGGUUCGGGAUAACAGCGGGAAACUGCUGCUAAUACCGGAUGAUAUCGCGAGAUCAAAGAUUUAUCGCCCUGGGAUGAGCCCGCGUCGGAUUAGGUAGUUGGUGGGGUAAGAGCCUACCAAGCCGACGAUCCGUAGCUGGUCUGAGAGGAUGAUCAGCCACACUGGGACUGAGACACGGCCCAGACUCCUACGGGAGGCAGCAGUGGGGAAUAUUGGACAAUGGGCGCAAGCCUGAUCCAGCAAUGCCGCGUGAGUGAUGAAGGCCUUAGGGUUGUAAAGCUCUUUUACCCGGGAUGAUAAUGACAGUACCGGGAGAAUAAGCCCCGGCUAAACUCCGUG